rnacentral:rRNA from 1 species
GACAGAGGGUGCGAACGUUGUUCGGAAUUACUGGGCGUAAAGCGCGUGUAGGCUGUUCGGAAAGUCGGGUGUGAAAGCCCUGGGCUCAACCUAGGAAGUGCACUCGAAACUCCCGAACUGGAGUCCCGGAGAGGAAGGUGGAAUUCUCGGUGUAGAGGUGAAAUUCGUAGAUAUCGAGGGGAACAUCGGUGGCGAAGGCGGCCUUCUGGACGGUGACUGACGCUGAGACGCGAAAGCGUGGGGAGCAAACAGG